GACGAACGCUGGCGGCGCGCCUAACACAUGCAAGUCAAACGAGAGAUGAGGAGCUUGCUCUUCAAAUCGAGUGGCGAACGGGUGAGUAACGCGUGAGGAACCUGCCUCAAAGAGGGGGACAACAGUUGGAAACGACUGCUAAUACCGCAUAAGCCCACGGCUCGGCAUCGAGCAGAGGGAAAAGGAGUGAUCCGCUUUGAGAUGGCCUCGCGUCCGAUUAGCUGGUUGGUGAGGUAACGGCCCACCAAGGCGACGAUCGGUAGCCGGACUGAGAGGUUGAACGGCCACAUUGGGACUGACACACCGCCCACACUCCUACGGGAGGCAGCGGUGGGGAAUAUUGCACAGUGGGGGAAACCCUGAUGCACCGACGCCGCGUGGAGGAAGAAGGUCUUCGGAUUGUAAAACUCCUGUUGUUGAGGAAGAUAAUGACGGUACUCAACAAGGAAGUGACGGCUAACUACGUGCCAGCAGCCGCGGUAAAACGUAGGUCACAAGCGUUGUCCGGAAUUACUGGGUGUAAAGGGAGCGCAGGCGGACCGGCAAGUUGGAAGUGAAAACUAUGGGCUCAACCCAUAAAUUGCUUUCAAAACUGCUGGCCUUGAGUAGUGCAGAGGUAGGUGGAAUUCCCGGUGUAGCGGUGGAAUGCGUAGAUAUCGGGAGGAACACCAGUGGCGAAGGCGACCUACUGGGCACCAACUGACGCUGAGGCUCGAAAGCAUGGGUAGCAAACAGGAUUAGAUACCCUGGUAGUCCAUGCCGUAAACGAUGAUUACUAGGUGUUGGAGGAUUGACCCCUUCAGUGCCGCAGUUAACACAAUAAGUAAUCCACCUGGGGAGUACGACCGCAAGGUUGAAACUCAAAGGAAUUGACGGGGGCCCGCACAAGCAGUGGAGUAUGUGGUUUAAUUCGAAGCAACGCGAAGAACCUUACCAGGUCUUGACAUCCGAUGCAUAGUGCAGAGAUGCAUGAAGUCCUUCGAGACAUCGAGACAGGUGGUGCAUGGUUGUCGUCAGCUCGUGUCGUGAGAUGUUGGGUUAAGUCCCGCAACGAGCGCAACCCUUAUUGCCAGUUACUACGCAAGAGGACUCUGGCGAGACUGCCGUUGACAAAACGGAGGAAGGUGGGGAUGACGUCAAAUCAUCAUGCCCUUUAUGACCUGGGCUACACACGUACUACAAUGGCGUUUAACAAAGAGAAGCAAGACCGCGAGGUGGAGCAAAACUCAAAAACAACGUCUCAGUUCAGAUUGCAGGCUGCAACUCGCCUGCAUGAAGUCGGAAUUGCUAGUAAUCGCGGAUCAGCAUGCCGCGGUGAAUACGUUCCCGGGCCUUGUACA
rnacentral:rRNA from 1 species